rnacentral:tRNA from 1 species
UGUUUAUGUAGUAUAUAUAUAAUACUUUACCUUUUCGUGGUAAAGAAGGAAAGCCCUUAAAUAU